rnacentral:lncRNA from 1 species
CUAUUUUGUUAAUUUUUUAUUGAGUGUCCAAAUUAAUGUCAAUAUAACAGAAUUCAAAGGCAAAGAUAAAAGUCCACAGGCUCAAUUCUAGCUACAGCACAUGUCAGUAGUUCAGUGUCUGCUAUGUGGAAAGACUGAGAAAGUGUCUUAAUCAAAAUUUCUACAAAUCUUUGAUAUCGCCUUAUUUAUUUUCUGCAGAACAGGAGCCUCUUCAUGUUUGAUGUCCCAGAAGCAAGGGCCUGUUUCUGUUGAGUUUGAUUAUAGAAGAGAGGACUCCUCCCAGGUAGCACAGCUGGAUGUAUCCUGCUUGUUGCCUUAGUUUCCUUCAUCCUGUAGAUACACACAGUUGGUUCUGGAACCAUUGCUGCAAAUCCUUCUCCAGCUUGGUGGAGAAGUCACUAUGGAGCUGGCACAUUGCUGCUGAGUCAUCCCCUCCUUCACCUCAUAACUCAUCAUCUAAUUGUGUUUCUAUGUUUUCAGAAAGUUGAGGCUCAGGAAAAGUAAGCAACUUUCUCUCCACCUCUCAGCAACCUAUGCACUAUACUUCCCUUAUCUUUU